UCCCAAUUUCUUCAACCCACCAAAUCCAAUCUGCGGCGGCUCCAAGCCUCGCCCCGAGGGGUGCCCUCUGCCGGCUACGUCUGGUCUCCUCCGUCGACGACCUCACCAGUCAGGGCCCGGCCGGCUUCCCUUGUCCUCCCCGUCCCCAGGCCACACCUCUCCUGGCGUCGUCCUCAACGUCCGCAAGCCGGGUCCACGCCGGCGUCAUCCUCCUGCCAAAAUUCCGCCACAUCAAGCCGGUGCACCCUCGAAUCCCAUCUGCUGUACAAUUUACCAUUAUACAGUAUCAAGCAGAUUGGUUGUCAACAAAUCUCACCAUUAGGACCAACCAGCAUCAAUCAGGGAACUCAUGUAUAAGAUUCGGAUCUGAUGGAACAACCACAUUGGUGGUGCGUCCUGCAACUUGUGUACACAUUUUCUGUUCCUUAUCCCACCCUGUAACUUACGAAUUUGGUAGUUCGUCCUUUUAGCGAAAAAGGAGCGAGUACAUUGAUCUGGUUUACUAGCAGGUGCUACCUCGAAUCCCAUUGAGAAAAAGGGUUUCCUCGAAUCCCAUUAUGCCA